GACAGAAGGUGCAAGCGUUACUCGGAAUUACUGGGCGUAAAGCGUCUGUAGGUGUCUUGCCACGUCUGGGGACAAAAUGCGGGGCUCAACUCCGCACUCUUCCUGGAUACGAGCGAGAUUCGAGUCAUUCAGAGGCAUCUGGAAUGUCGUGUGUAGGGGUAAAAUCCGUAGAUACACGAUGGAACGCCAAAAGCGAAAGCAGGAUGCUAGGAAUGCACUGACACUCAGAGACGAAAGCGUGGGGAGCAAAGGGG
rnacentral:rRNA from 1 species